CGUAGGGGGCGAGCGUUGUCCGGAUUCAUUGGGCGUAAAGAGCUCGUAGGCGGUUCAGUAAGUCGGGUGUGAAAGCUCCGAGCUCAACUCGGAGAAGCCACCCGAUACUGCUGUGACUUGAGUCCAGUAGAGGAGCGUGGAACUCCUGGUGUAGCGGUGGAAUGCGCAGAUAUCAGGAAGAACACCUGCAGCGAAGGCGGCGCUCUGGGCUGGAACUGACGCUGAGGAGCGAAAGCGUGGGUAGCAAA
rnacentral:rRNA from 1 species